rnacentral:lncRNA from 1 species
GAUGCGACCUCUUUGUUGUCUGCCAGUUCUGAUCUCUUGCCAGAAUUUUCAAUUCUCGUGCUUUGUAUUUACAAAUCUGAUCUUCCGGAAUGUUGCUUAUACGACAUUUGUUAAAUGGUUGUAUUGCCUAUGGGUAAACUGAGUUCUUUCAAUCAAGAAAUGCAGUCAUGACUUGUGUUGAUUAAAUGCUAGGUAUGUGGUUGGGCAAUAUCCUAGAUUUUUGAGAGCUCAUUGGAAGUUCUUGAAGACUGUUGUGAACAAAUUGUUCGAGUUCAUGCAUGAAACGCAUCCUGGAGUGCAGGUUUGACUACUGAUUAAUGAUUUCACUAUCAGUUCCAAAUUGUUCGAGUUCAUGCAUGAAACACAUCCUGGAGUGCAGG